rnacentral:tRNA from 6 species
GGCGGGGUAGCUCAGUUGGUUAGAGCAGCGGAAUCAUAAUCCGCGUGUCGGGGGUUCAAAUCCCUCCCCCGCUACCA